rnacentral:misc_RNA from 1 species
AAGGGAAAAGGGACGAGGGCUGCCUCCGGGCGCCAACCUCCCACCCGUGAAUACCUUACCACUGUUGCUUCGGCGAGGAGCCCCUUCCGGGGGGCGAGCCGCCGGGGACCACAUGAACUUCUUGCUUGUAGAGUUGCGUCUGAGCCUGAAAUAUAAAUCAGUCAAAACUUUCAACAAUGGAUCUCUUGGUUCCGGCAUCGAUGAAGAACGCAGCGAACUGCGAUAAGUAAUGUGAAUUGCAGAAUUCAGUGAAUCAUCGAGUCUUUGAACGCACAUUGCGCCCCCUGGCAUUCCGGGGGGCAUGCCUGUCCGAGCGUCAUUGCUGCCCUUCAAGCCCGGCUUGUGUGUUGGGUCGUCGUCCCCUCCGGGGGACGGGCCCGAAAGGCAGCGGCGGCACCGCGUCCGGUCCUCGAGCGUAUGGGGCUUUGUCACCCGCUCGAUAAGGACCGGCCGGGCGCCAGCCGGCGUCUCCAACCUUUUUUUCUCAGGUUGACCUCGGAUCAGGUAGGGAUACCCGCUGAACUUAAGCAUAUCAAAAGCGGGGAAGAAAAUUAAAACCUGGC